CCUGUCGAGAUAGAACCCUUGCCUUUUUGAGUACCUUUCUGUUUCCUCGGCAGGCUCGCCUGCCAAUGGGGACCCCAAUAAACACUUUGUAGUACCUGUAACUGUCUGAAAAACAAACAAAUAAUUAAAACUUUCAACAACGGAUCUCUUGGUUCUGGCAUCGAUGAAGAACGCAGCGAAAUGCGAUAAGUAGUGUGAAUUGCAGAUUUCAGUGAAUCAUCGAAUCUUUGAACGCACAUUGCGCCCUUUGGUAUUCCUUAGGGCAUGCCUGUUCGAGCGUCAUUUAAACCUUCAAGCUCAGCUUGGUGAUGGGUGACUGUCCGCUGCCUCCCCCCGGGGUGCGCCGCGGACUCGCCUCAAAUUUAUUGGCGGCCGGUACGUUGGCUUCGAGCGCAGCAGAAACGCGUAACUCGAGGUCUCCGUGGCGGCUCCCACAAGCAACCUUCAUUAUUUUGACCUCGGAUCAGGUAGGGAUACCCGCUGAACUUAAGCAUAUCAAUAAGCGGAGGAA
rnacentral:rRNA from 1 species